UACGUAGGGUGCGAGCGUUUGUCCGGGAUUAUUGGGCGUAAAGGGCUCGUAGGCGGUCUGUCGCGUCGGGAGUGAAAACUCAGGGCUUAACCCUGAGCCUGCUUCCGAUACGGGCAGACUAGAGGUAUGCAGGGGAGAACGGAAUUCCUGGUGUAGCGGUGGAAUGCGCAGAUAUCAGGAGGAACACCGGUGGCGAAGGCGGUUCUCUGGGCAUUACCUGACGCUGAGGAGCGAAAGCGUGGGGAGCGAACAGG
rnacentral:rRNA from 1 species